CCUACGGGGGGCUGCAGUGGGGAAUAUUGGACAAUGGGCGAAAGCCUGAUCCAGCCAUGCCGCGUGUGUGAAGAAGGCCUUCGGGUUGUAAAGCACUUUCAGUGGGGAAGAAAGCCUUGGGGCUAAUACCCUCGAGGAAGGACAUCACCCACAGAAGAAGCACCGGCUAACUCCGUGCCAGCAGCCGCGGUAAUACGGAGGGUGCGAGCGUUAAUCGGAAUUACUGGGCGUAAAGCGCGCGUAGGCGGUCUGAUAAGCCGGUUGUGAAAGCCCCGAGCUCAACCUGGGAACGGCAUCCGGAACUGUCAGGCUAGAGUGCAGGAGAGGAAGGUAGAAUUCCCGGUGUAGCGGUGAAAUGCGUAGAGAUCGGGAGGAAUACCAGUGGCGAAGGCGGCCUUCUGGACUGACACUGACGCUGAGGUGCGAAAGCGUGGGUAGCAAACAGGAUUAGAUACCCCAGUAGUC
rnacentral:rRNA from 1 species